rnacentral:rRNA from 1 species
AUUGAACGCUGGCGGCAGGCUUAACACAUGCAAGUCGAGCGGGGGAAGGUAGCUUGCUACCGGACCUAGCGGCGGACGGGUGAGUAAUGCUUAGGAAUCUGCCUAUUAGUGGGGGACAACAUCUCGAAAGGGAUGCUAAUACCGCAUACGUCCUACGGGAGAAAGCAGGGGAACUUCGGACCUUGCGCUAAUAGAUGAGCCUAAGGCGGAUUAGCUAGUUGGUGGGGUAAAGGCCUACCAAGGCGACGAUCUGUAGCGGGUCUGAGAGGAUGAUCCGCCACACUGGGACUGAGACACGGCCCAGACUCCUACGGGAGGCAGCAGUGGGGAAUAUUGGACAAUGGGGGGAACCCUGAUCCAGCCAUGCCGCGUGUGUGAAGAAGGCCUUAUGGUUGUAAAGCACUUUAAGCGAGGAGGAGGCUACUCUAGUUAAUACCUAGGGAUAGUGGACGUUACUCGCAGAAUAAGCACCGGCUAACUCUGUGCCAGCCGCCGCAGUAACAC